AUUUUUAAGUGAAUUCAUAUAAAAUAUAAUAUUUUCUUUUGAUUUGUAAAAGUAAAAAUGAUGAAGAGAUGUGAGAGGUGUAAUUGUGUACAAAAAUGAGUUGAUUUGUAGUGCUAUUAAAAUGGAGUAAUAAGUAAACUCAUGAAAAAGGCAGCACGAUUCAAAAUACGUAAAAAAAAAAUGUAUUAACUUUAUAUAUAAUAUAGUUUUUCGAUGAAGGAGUUCAGUGCACCCUAGCUCUAUUACAAUACUUGCUACAAUAGACUAUAAAUAUGAUAUGAUGGUAAAAAUUUCUUACACUGGCAUUGUAUAUAACUUAAAGGUAUAUACAACAACUUGCAUUUAAAGUUGGCCUCAGCUUCAACUUUCACAAACUCGUCUUUACUUUGUUAGUUGAACACUCUAACUUAUAAGAUGAUCAUCUUAACAUGCACCUACAAAUUUUAUGUGUCACGUUAGUAUAGGGUGUUUAUGAGACACAAUUAGAAUGAGUGAGAAUGUUUAAUUUAGUUUCCCGUUGAGACCAAAUAUGUCUAAAUAUACAUUCUUGAUCUCAACUAGAGAUGUCUAAAUAUAUAUUGUCAAAGUUGGAGUGCAUACUUGUUGGCUGAAGCAAACCUUAAAUGCAAGUUCAUGUAUUAUGCCUAACAUAAACUUUAACUUCAUUAGGGAUGAUAUCAUCGUCUCCUCAACAAUAAAAGUAAAUGAGAAAAAUCCUUACAACUAACUUUAACCUCAUCAAACUCCCAUAUCUGUUCUAUUUAUAUAGCACUACCAAUCAACUCAUUUUUGUACACAGCUACACCUCUCACAUUUCUUCUAUCUUUUUUCCUUUUACAAAUUAAAAAAAAAAAUGAAAGAUCAAUUUCGUGAAUUAACCUUUAAGGAAUUUCUUGAAGAGAUAACAAGGCAAGAACAAAGUUUUUUUCAGAAAAAAAGAGCUGAAAUGCUUAAAGAAAAUCCUGAGUUAUCAAUAAAAGACCUUUUUCCUCCAAUGCCAAACAAAACUACUAGUAAAAAUAAUGCUUAUAAUGCAUCUACUCCAGAAACUGAAUUUGAGCAAGCAAAUUAAUGUCAGUGAAAAGAUGCCAACUGGUGAUAUUGUUGUGAAUGAGAUGCAAAAAGGUAAAGGACAAAAAGAAGCAAAAGCUUAGAAGGAAGAUGGUAGCUAAAAGUUGAGAAUCAAGUGUUAAAUGAAAUGGAAUUGUAAAUAAAUAAAUGAAGUAAAAAAAAACUAGCCUCAGUCAGUGACUUUGCUUUAAGAAAAUUAAGUCAAAAUUACAGAAAAAUGGAAUUAAUGUGAUGCAUGUCUGUAUCUAUGUCUGCAUUAAGUUAAAUAAACAUCAUCUGAUGAUGUCUUGUUUAGUAA